AGUGAACGCCGGCGGUAGGCCUAACACAUGCAAGUCGAACGGCAGCACAGUAAGAGCUUGCUCUUACGGGUGGCGAGUGGCGGACGGGUGAGGAAUACAUCGGAAUCUACUUUUUCGUGGGGGAUAACGUAGGGAAACUUACGCUAAUACCGCAUACGACCUACGGGUGAAAGCAGGGGAUCUUCGGACCUUGCGCGAAUGAAUGAGCCGAUGUCGGAUUAGCUAGUUGGCGGGGUAAAGGCCCACCAAGGCGACGAUCCGUAGCUGGUCUGAGAGGAUGAUCAGCCACACUGGAACUGGGACACGGUCCAGACUCCUACGGGAGGCAGCAGUGGGGAAUAUUGGACAAUGGGCGCAAGCCUGAUCCAGCCAUACCGCGUGGGUGAAGAAGGCCUUCGGGUUGUAAAGCCCUUUUGUUGGGAAAGAAAAGCAGCAGGUUAAUACCCCGCUGUUCUGACGGUACCCAAAGAAUAAGCACCGGCUAACUUCGUG
rnacentral:rRNA from 1 species